AAGUCGAACGAUCGUGGGGCGAUAGCAAUAUUGAAACACGGUAGUGGCGAAAGGGUGUGUAACACGUGGGUAAUUUUCCGUGAGGUCUGGCAUAACGCGCUGAAAAGUGCGCUAAUUCUGGAUAUGCUUACCGAAGCAAUUCGGCAAGAAAAGCUGGGGACCGCAAGGCCUGGCGCCUAACGAUAAGCUCGCGGCCUAUCAGCUAGUUGGUGGGGUAAAGGCUCACCAAGGCGAUGACGGGUAGCUGGUCUUAGAGGACGACCAGCCACACUGGAACUGAGACACGGUCCAGACACCUACGGGUGGCAGCAGUCGAGAAUUUUUCACAAUGGGCGAAAGCCUGAUGGAGCGACGCCGCGUGGGGGAUGAAUGGCUUCGGCCCGUAAACCCCUGUCAUUUGCGAUCAAGGUGUUUCCAAAAAUAUUGGGGACAUUGAUAGUAGCGAAAGAGGAAGGGACGGCUAACUCUGUGCCAGCAGCCGCGGUAAUACAGAGGUCCCAAGCGUUGUUCGGAAUUACUGGGCGUAAAGGGCGCGUAGGCGGUAAUGCAAGUCGCAGGUCAAAUGCCACGGCUUAACCGUGGAAAGCUUGCGGGACUGCAUUGCUAGAGGGCUGUAGGGGGGGUUGGAAUUCUCGGUGUAGCAGUGAAAUGCGUAGAUAUCGAGAGGAACAUCAGUGGCGAAGGCGAACCCCUAAGCAGAUCCAGACGCUGAGGCGCGAAAGCCAAGGUAGCAAACGGGAUUAGAUACCCCGGUAGUCUUGGCUGUAAACGGUGCGCACUUGCCGCGAGCUAGGUUAUACUGGUUCGUGGCGAAGCUAACGCGUUAAGUGCGCCGCCUGGGGAAUACGGCCGCAAGGCUAAAACUCAAGAAAUUGACGGGGGCCUGCACAGCGGGUGGGAGUAUGUGGCUUAAUUCGAUGCAACGCGAGACCUUACCUAGCCUUGACAUCUUGACAGUAGCUCUGAAACAAGAGUGAGGUAGCAUACAAAUCAGACAGUGCUGCAUGGCUGUCGUCAGCUCGUGUCGUGGGGAGGAGUGGUUGGGGUUAAGUCCCGCACGAGCGCACCCCUUUGAUC
rnacentral:rRNA from 1 species